GAUGAACGCUAGCGGCAGGCUUAACACAUGCAAGUCGAGGGGUAUUGGUUUUCGGACCAAGAGACCGGCGCACGGGUGCGUAACGCGUAUGCAAUCUACCUUUUGCAGAGGGAUAGCCCCAGAGAAAUUUGGAUUAAUACCUCAUAGUAUAGUACUUUGGCAUCAAGGAACUAUUAAAGUCACAACGGCAAAAGAUGAGCAUGCGUCCCAUUAGCUAGUUGGUAAGGUAACGGCUUACCAAGGCUACGAUGGGUAGGGGUCCUGAGAGGGAGAUCCCCCACACUGGUACUGAGACACGGACCAGACUCCUACGGGAGGCAGCAGUGAGGAAUAUUGGACAAUGGGCGCAAGCCUGAUCCAGCCAUGCCGCGUGCAGGAUGACGGUCCUAUGGAUUGUAAACUGCUUUUANACAGGAAGAAACACUCCGACGUGUCGGAGCUUGACGGUACUGUAAGAAUAAGGA
rnacentral:rRNA from 1 species